rnacentral:rRNA from 1 species
AGCAGCCGCGGUAAUUCCAGCUCCAAUAGCGUAUAUUAAAGUUGUUGCAGUUAAAAAGCUCGUAGUUGAAUUUCGGGAUCAAAGGAUCGGUCAUGCCUUGGUAUGUACUGGUUUUAUUGGUUCUCACCUUCUAAAGAACCAUAAUGUCAUUCAUUUGAUGUUAUGGGGAAUUAGGACUGUUACCUUGAAAAAUUAGAGUGUUUAGAGCAGGCUUACGCUUGAAUACAUUAGCAUGGAAUAAUGAAAUAGGACAUCAGAUUCUAUUUUGUUGGUUUCUAGGAUCGAUGUAAUGAUUAAUAGGGAUAGUUGGGGGCAUUAGGUAUUCAAUUGUCAGAGGUGAAAUUCUUGGAUUUAUUGAAGACUAACUACUGCGAAAGCAUUUGCCAAGGAUGUUUUCAUUAAUCAAGAACGAGAGUUAGGGGAUCGAAGACGAUCAGAUACCGUCGUAGU